rnacentral:rRNA from 1 species
UGAGGAGGAGCUUGCUUCYCUGGAUGAGUUGCGAACGGGUGAGUAACGCGUAGGUAACCUGCCUGGUAGCGGGGGAUAACUAUUGGAAACGAUAGCUAAUACCGCAUAAUAGUAGAUGUUGCAUGACAUUUGCUUGAAAGGUGCAAUUGCAUCACUACCAGAUGGACCUGCGUUGUAUUAGCUAGUUGGUGGGGUAACGGCUCACCAAGGCGACGAUACAUAGCCGACCUGAGAGGGUGAUCGGCCACACUGGGACUGAGACACGGCCCAGACUCCUACGGGAGGCAGCAGUAGGGAAUCUUCGGCAAUGGACGAAAGUCUGACCGAGCAACGCCGCGUGAGUGAAGAAGGUUUUCGGAUCGUAAAGCUCUGUUGUAAGAGAAGAACGAGUGUGAGAGUGGAAAGUUCACACUGUGACGGUAUCUUACCAGAAAGGGACGGCUAACUACGUGCCAGCAGCCGCGGUAAUACGUAGGUCCCGAGCGUUGUCCGGAUUUAUUGGGCGUAAAGCGAGCGCAGGCGGUUAGAUAAGUCUGAAGUUAAAGGCUGUGGCUUAACCAUAGUACGCUUUGGAAACUGUUUAACUUGAGUGCAAGAGGGGAGAGUGGAAUUCCAUGUGUAGCGGUGAAAUGCGUAGAUAUAUGGA